rnacentral:rRNA from 1 species
GACGAACGCUGGCGGCGUGCUUAACACAUGCAAGUCGAACGAAGUGGCGAACGGGUGAGUAACGCGUAAUCAACCUGCCCUUCAGAGGGGGACAACAGUUGGAAACGACUGCUAAUACCGCAUACUGAAGGAGGGGAUUGCGUUUGAUUAGCAAGUUGGAGGGGUAACGGCCCACCAAGGGGAUGAUCAGUAGCCGGACUGAGAGGGUGAACGGCCAAAUUGGGAAUGGGACACGGCCCAGACUCCUUCGGGAGGCAGCAGUGGGGAAACUUCCGCAAUGGACGAAAGUCCGACGGGGCAACGCCGCGUGAGUGAUGACAGCCUUCGGGUUGUAAAGCUCUUUUAAUCGGGACGCGGUACCGGAAUAGAAAGCCACGGCUAACUACGUGCCAGCCGCCGCGGUAAUUC